rnacentral:rRNA from 1 species
AGUGAACGCUGGCGGUAGGCCUAGCACAUGCAAGUCGAACGGCAGCACAGUAAGAGCUUGCUCUUACGGGUGGCGAGUGGCGGACGGGUGAGGAAUACAUCGGAAUCUACUUUUUCGUGGGGGAUAACGUAGGGAAACUUACGCUAAUACCGCAUACGACCUACGGGUGAAAGCAGGGGAUCUUCGGACCUUGCGCGAUUGAAUGAGCCGAUGUCGGAUUAGCUAGUUGGCGGGGUAAAGGCCCACCAAGGCGACGCUCCGUAGCUGGUCUGAGAGGAUGAUCACCCACACUGGAACGGAGACACGGACAAGACUCCUACGGGAGGCAGCAGUGGGGAAUAUUGGACAAUGGGCGCAAGCCUGAUCCAGCCAUACCGCGUGGGUGGAGAAGGCCUUCGGGUUGUAAAGCCCUUUUGUUGGGAAAGAAAAGCAGCAGGUUAAUACCCCGCUGUUCUGACGGUACCCAAAGAAUAAGCACCGGCUAACUUCGUG